GCGGCAAGAUCGAGAUCAAGCGGAUCGAGAACUCCACCAACCGCCAGGUCACCUUCUCCAAGCGCCGCAACGGCAUCAUCAAGAAAGCUCGUGAGAUCAGCGUCCUCUGUGAGGCCCAGGUCUCCGUCGUCAUCUUCUCCAGCUCCGGCAAGAUGUCCGAGUACUGCAGCCCCUCCACCUCUCUACCGAAGAUCCUUGAGAGGUAUCAGGUGAACUGCGGCAAGAAGAUCUGGGAUCCCAAGCAUGAGCACCUGAGCGCGGAGAUUGAUAGGAUCAAGAAGGAGAAUGAUAAUAUGCAGAUCCAGUUGAGGCAUCUGAAGGGAGAGGAUCUGAACUCGCUGCAGCCGAAGGAGCUGAUCCCAAUCGAGGAGGCGCUGGAGAACGGCAUCAGGGGCGUCCGGGAGAAGCAGAAUGAUUUUCUGAGGAUGCUCAAGAAGAAUGAAAGGAUACUGGAAGAGGAUAACAAACGGUUAACUUAUAUACUGCACCAUCAACAACUGGCAAUGGAUGAAAAUAUGAGGAACUUGGAAUUUGCAUAUCAUCAUAAAGAUGGGGAUUUCGGUUCCCAGAUGCCAAUGGCCUUUCGUGUGCAGCCAAUCCAGCCUAAUUUACAUGAGGACAAGUAGUAUGAGCAUCUCCUGUGCCUGAUAUUUUAUUUAGACAUCGAGUAUCUAAAGAAAUUUAUUAUCU
rnacentral:misc_RNA from 1 species